rnacentral:rRNA from 1 species
AUUGAACGCUGGCGGAAUGCUUUACACAUGCAAGUCGAACGGCAGCACUGACUUCGGUCUGGUGGCGAGUGGCGAACGGGUGAGUAAUGUAUCGGAACGUGCCCAGUCGUGGGGGAUAACGUAGUGAAAAUUACGCUAAUACCGCAUACGAUCUAUGGAUGAAAGCGGGGGAUCGCAAGACCUCGCGCGAUUGGAGCGGUCGAUAUCAGAUUAGGUAGUCGGUGGGGUAAAGGACCACCAAGCCAACGAUCUGUAGUUGGUCUGAGAGGACGACCAGCCACACUGGAACUGAGACACGGUCCAGACUCCUACGGGAGGCAGCAGUGGGGAAUUUUGGACAAUGGGCGAAAGCCUGAUCCAGCCAUUCCGCGUGCAGGAUGAAGGCCCUCGGGUUGUAAACUGCUUUUGUACAGAACGAAAAGGUUUCUACUAAUACUAGGAGCUCAUGACGGUACUGUAAGAAUAAGCACCGGCUAACUACGUGCCAGCCGCCGCCGUAA